rnacentral:rRNA from 1 species
UGCGACGAUGCGUAGGGGUUCUGAGAGGAAGGUCCCCCACACUGGUACUGAGACACGGACCAGACUCCUACGGGAGGCAGCAGUGAGGAAUAUUGGUCAAUGGGAGAGAUCCUGAACCAGCCAAGCCGCGUGAGGGAAGACGGCCCUAUGGGUUGUAAACCUCUUUUGUCGGAGAACAAAACCCGGGACGUGUCCCGGACUGCGUGUAUCCGAAGAAAAAGCAUCGGCUAACUCCGUGCCAGCAGCCGCGGUAAUACGGAGGAUGCGAGCGUUAUCCGGAUUUAUUGGGUUUAAAGGGUGCGUAGGCGGUCUGUUAAGUCAGCGGUAAAAUUGCGGGGCUCAACCCCGUCGAGCCGUUGAAACUGGCAGACUUGAGUUGGCGAGAAGUACGCGGAAUGCGCGGUGUAGCGGUGAAAUGCAUAGAUAUCGCGCAGAACUCCGAUUGCGAAGGCAGCGUACCGGCGCCAGACUGACGCUGAGGCACGAAAGCGUGGGGAUCGAACAGGAUUAGAUACCCUGGUAGUCCACGCAGUAAACGAUGAAUGCUGGUUGUCCGGGUCGAAUGAGACCUGG